rnacentral:rRNA from 1 species
AGAGUUUGAUCAUGGCUCAGGACGAACGCUGGCGGCGUGCUUAAUACAUGCAAGUCGAGCGAGGUUAUGUUGUGGACAUCCUUCGGGAGGGAAGCGAUAUGACCUAGCGGCGGACGGGUGAGUAACGCGUGGGCAAUCUGCCCUAAAGCUCGGGAUAACAGUGGGAAACUGCUGCUAAUACCGGAUGACUUUAUCGGGAGGCAUCUUCGGAUAAAGAAAGUGGUCAAUCAUUGAUUGACCAGCGCUUUAGGAUGAGCCCGCGUCCCAUUAGCUAGUUGGUGAGGUAACGGCUCACCAAGGCGACGAUGGGUAGCCGGCCUGAGAGGGUGAACGGCCACACUGGGACUGAGACACGGCCCAGACUCCUACGGGAGGCAGCAGUAGGGAAUAUUGCGCAAUGGAGGGAACUCUGACGCAGCGACGCCGCGUGAGCGAUGAAGGUUUUCGGAUCGUAAAGCUCUGUCCUUGGGGAAGAAGGGUGCGAAGCAUCUUGACGGUACCUAAGGAGGAAGCCCCGGCUAACUACGUGCCAGCAGCCGCGGUAAUACGUAGGGGGCAAGCGUUGUCCGGAAUUAUUGGGCGUAAAGCGAGCGCAGGCGGUUCUUUAAGUCUGAUGUGAAAGCCCCUGGCUCAACCAGGGAGGGUCAUUGGAAACUGGAGAACUUGAGUGCAGAAGAGGAAAGUGGAAUUCCAUGUGUAGCGGUGAAAUGCGUAGAUAUAUGGAGGAACACCAGUGGCGAAGGCGACUUUCUGGUCUGUAACUGACGCUGAGGCUCGAAAGCAUGGGGAGCAAACAGGAU